GGGGAGCUGCAGCUGUGAGGCCCAGGACCCUUAGCAGGACAUGCAGAGCUGGGCAGGGACCCAGGCUCAUGCUCCCAGCGGGGGUGGGGAACGCAGAGCCCUGCCCAGAGGCUUGAACCUGGCACCACAGGGAUCUGGAAUUACACAGAAGACGGGUGACAGCCAAGGUGGAUCAUGAACGGUGAGGAGAAGUCCAGCAGGUGACAAGGGGAAGGGUCUAAAGGGUGGAGGCCACAGCGCAAGCAAAGUCUUGGCAACAAAAGAGCUAAUGCAUCCCAGAAACGGGACAGGUGGAGCACUGGAAGCUACACCAAGCUUCAGAGUGGUCCUGUGGCCUCGGUGUGGUAGCUCAGGCCUGUAAUUCCAACACUUUGGGAGGCUGAGGCAGGAGGAUAACUUGAACCCAGGAGUUCAAGAUCAGCCUGGGCAA
rnacentral:lncRNA from 1 species